CAGAUUGAACGCUGGCGGCAGGCCUAACACAUGCAAGUCGAACGGUAGCACAGAGAGCUUGCUCUCGGGUGACGAGUGGCGGACGGGUGAGUAAUGUCUGGGAAACUGCCUGAUGGAGGGGGAUAACUACUGGAAACGGUAGCUAAUACCGCAUAACGUCGCAAGACCAAAGAGGGGGACCUUCGGGCCUCUUGCCAUCAGAUGUGCCCAGAUGGGAUUAGCUAGUAGGUGGGGUAACGGCUCACCUAGGCGACGAUCCCUAGCUGGUCUGAGAGGAUGACCAGCCACACUGGAACUGAGACACGGUCCAGACUCCUACGGGAGGCAGCAGUGGGGAAUAUUGCACAAUGGGCGCAAGCCUGAUGCAGCCAUGCCGCGUGUAUGAAGAAGGCCUUCGGGUUGUAAAGUACUUUCAGCGGGGAGGAAGGYGUUGUGGUUAAUAACCWCAGCRAUUGACGUUACCCGCAGAAGAAGCACCGGCUAACUCCGUGCCAGCAGCCGCGGUAAUACGGAGGGUGCAAGCGUUAAUCGGAAUUACUGGGCGUAAAGCGCACGCAGGCGGUCUGUCAAGUCGGAUGUGAAAUCCCCGGGCUCAACCUGGGAACUGCAUUCGAAACUGGCAGGCUAGAGUCUUGUAGAGGGGGGUAGAAUUCCAGGUGUAGCGGUGAAAUGCGUAGAGAUCUGGAGGAAUACCGGUGGCGAAGGCGGCCCCCUGGACA
rnacentral:rRNA from 1 species